rnacentral:snoRNA from 1 species
CCUGAGGCUAGAGUCACAUACUGACACAUCUUUUGUCCUGGUGUGCUAGAGUCCUCAAAGAGAAUCUGCUGGUCUUGAUUCACUGGCGAGGGCAAUCUGUGCCCCUGGUAGUGCCCAGAUCAGAAACAUGC